GUGCCACUGGAAUAUUCAUAGCUUGUGCACCGAUCUUUGGGUUGGUUCAUGGCCAACGUCCUGAUGCAAAGGGGUAUGGUCUGGACACGUGGCAUGCCAUGAUAAGUCGACGACGCGAAUUGAAGCAUAGCAAUUGGCCCCAGCCAUGUGCAAGGAAAGCAAAGUUGCAGCUCUUGGAAACAGAAGAAGCAAAUUACUGAUCUUAUUGCAGAAUGCUGAUCGGGUUAGCUAAUUGAGACCAUGGUAUUACUAUUUACUAGUGAUGUUCUCUGAAGAAAGUACACAGACCUUGAACACUGUGCUAAUUGUAGGCAUGAUGAGCCAUCUCUGCAUCUCAUCAUGUCAAUAGCACGUCUAUCCUGGCAUUUGAAAAAAAGGGUUUAUAGGUCCUGGUCUUAAUUAGUCCACACAUGUGAUCAUCAAUGGUGUUUGCUUUGGCAUGGAUGCUGAUUAGUCACUUUUACAGUUAUAUGUCUUGAAAGAUAAAGUGAAUCAAGAUACUUUUCCUC